UAGGGAAUCUUCCACAAUGGACGCAAGUCUGAUGGAGCAACGCCGCGUGAGUGAAGAAGGUUUUCGGACCGUAAAGCUCUGUUGUUGGUGAAGAAGGAUAGAGGUAGUAACUGGCUUUUAUUUGACGGUAAUCAACCAGAAAGUCACGGCUAACUACGUGCCAGCAGCCGCGGUAAUACGUAGGUGGCAAGCGUUGUCCGGAUUUAUUGGGCGUAAAGCGAGCGCAGGCGGAAGAAUAAGUCUGAUGUGAAAGCCCUCGGCUUAACCGAGGAAUUGCAUCGGAAACUGUUUUCUUGAGUGCAGAAGAGGAGAGUAGAAACUCCAUG
rnacentral:rRNA from 1 species